GUGGCGCACGGGUGAGUAACGCGUGGGGACCUACCUCUUAGUGGGGGAUAACGGUUGGAAACGACCGCUAAUACCGCAUACGCCCUUCGGGGGAAAGAUUUAUCGCUAAGAGAUGGACCCGCGUUGGAUUAGAUAGUUGGUGAGGUAACGGCUCACCAAGUCAGCGAUCCAUAGCUGGUUUGAGAGGAUGAUCAGCCACACUGGGACUGAGACACGGCCCAGACUCCUACGGGAGGCAGCAGUGGGGAAUAUUGGACAAUGGGGGCAACCCUGAUCCAGCCAUGCCGCGUGAGUGAAGA
rnacentral:rRNA from 1 species